GCCUAGCUCUCUAUGGGCUGUCGCGCCACUGAGUUUAGUUUUAUUUAUUUAUAAAACAAAUUUUUUGUAAGAAACCAUUACACUAAUCUAAAUUUAUUGUUACAGAAUCUUUUUAAAUUCUUAACCCUUCGGGGUUUGUUAAAAUACAUACACAUAUAUAUUAUAAAUAUCCAAUAUUUAAAAAAAGAAUUUUAUAUAUUUUUAGACAAAGAAUGCAGAAGCAAACUUUUUAGUUUGACAAGAAAUUUCCCUUUUUAUUUUAAGAUUUGCAUUAUAGAUUGUACAUGCUUCCCUCUCUUGUGUUUUUAUUUUUAAAUUUAUGUUUAAAGAUGAAGUUAGAGUUUUGAACUCAUAAUUUAGCAGAAUACCAUAAUUUAGGAUAUCAGUUGAAAGCCAAUACAUAUCAUAUUGCUCAAUCAUUCACCAUUUCUUUUAUGACAAAUGAACUAGAAAGAAUAUUUUCUAAUUUUUGAUUAGUUCAGUUCAAACUUUGAAAUCACUUAGGAGCAGAAAAUCUGUUGUUAAGUUUAUCUAUUUUAAUCAAAAGAAAUAAAGACUUUCUGACAUUUUUAAUCUUUAGUUUAGUGAAAUUGUCAAGACAUUUGAGAUUAAGUUCAUAUUUUAUCUCUUAAUGAAAUUAAUGAUUAAAUUAAUAAUCUCGUUAAUGGGAUUAAUGAUUAAGGAAGAUUAAAUUAUAUAGUAUCAUAUAAUGAAAUUUUUUGUAAUGGAAUGUGAAUACAUUUUGUAGAUCCUGGUUGUUCGUGAUAUAGUUGGUCAUUCAUCAUUUUAAAUUUAAUGAAUAUUUCUGCAUGAUUAAUAAAAUCUUAAAUUAUAUACUUUUAAUGCUUAGAAUUAGAAUAUUUGAAAUUUAUGAUUUCCUUAAUUCAUUUUAAAUACAAAAAGUAUAAUAACGAUAAAAGAUGAUAAUUUUUUGUACAUUGUAAGACAUAUAAAAAGUUCAAUCAUUGAAAUAUGCAAAUGAACAUACCAUGUGCUACGAAAAGAUAUGUACAUUUCAUUUCAUGAAUGUAUGUUUAUAAUUUGAAACAUAUGAUGUAACAUAUUAUGCUUCACAUUUUACAAAUAAUCACAGUAACUUGAUCAUUAUGCCAUUCAUUACACAUUAAGAAGGCAGAAAAGCUACUGGCAGAAUUAUAAAUUCUCAUAAUCGUUUUCUUUAUUAUUCUUUUUGGGAAUGAUCAAGUUAUAUUUUUUCAGUAUAUACUAUAUUUUAUUCUUAUAUUUACUGUAUAUAAGUAUGCAUAUAGAAUAUAUUAAGCAAAAACCUACUUAUCUCCAGACUAAAUUAGAUUUUUACAUGAAAAAACCAACCUGCUGGUUUUACGCAUUAAAACUCAGGGUGAAUCCUGGUGGCAGGUCUUUAUUAGCCUGCAGUUCAGUCAUCUGUUACCUGAUAAAACGCUGAUGGUGAUGACUUUUUUGUGAUUUCUGGACAAGAAUUAACAGAUGAUCAACUGAGGAAAAAAUUCAUAAAACUUUAUAAAUGUGUGUAUUGUUCAUUCUCUGGAAGCUCUAUGUAUAGUUUGAAAGAACAUAUUCGUGUGCACACAGGUAAAUGUAACUUCAAAAUACAUCAAUGUACUUACUGCCCUUAUUCAACUGUUCAAAUUGGGCAUUUUAAUCAGCAUAUUAGAGUUCACACUGGAGAACGCCCGUUCACUUGUGAGACGUGUGGAAUGUGUUUUAAACGUAAAGAACAUUGGCGAAAUCACCAGGUUAGAGUUCAUACUGGAGAGCACAUUUUUACUUGUAACACGUGUGGGAAAUCCUUUAAGCGUAAAGGACAUUGGCAAAAUCACCAAAUGACUCACUUGAACACAUGAAAAUUUUAUGAAAGGCAUUUUUUAUUUUCUAACGUUUUCACGCUAUGAUCAAUAUCCUGAAAGAAUUGUUGGUCGACAGAAGAAAAAAAUUGCCAAAGUUUAUAAUUGUGCAAACUGUUCGUACUCUAGCAAGUUAUUGGGUAAUCUUAAGCAGCACCUUUUAACUCACACAGGACAAAGACCAUUUGAAUGUAAACAUUGUGGAAAACGUUUCAGACGAAAAGCACAUUGUCAAACACAUGAGAUCACUCAUUUAUCUUUAAAUCUAAUUUGAGUGUUCACGCUCAAUUCGAUCAAUUGUGUUCAAAAGAAUGAUAAAGUAGCAAUUUUGUUCUUUUUUUUAAUUGGUGUCUUUUUUGUCUAACUUUUUUUAAAAUUAAAUGGAAUUUAAAUUUUUUAUUUUAUUGUAAAAAAAAAGUCAUGUUACAUAUGCACCAUUUGCUUUAAUAAUUCAUUUAAAAAAUUUCUUUAUCAGAGUUUGUCAAAUUGAUUUUUUAGUUAUCUGUUUCGUACUAGAAGUUGAAUUAAAUGUAAAAAAAAUAACUGAUUUCAAAGUUAAGUAUUAAAUUGUAUAUCUGGCAGCGGUCACAAAACUGGAUUCCCACUGGUCAAAAGAAAUCUUUAUUACAUUUUUUUUCUUUUAAAACUAUUGAAUAUCCUAUCAUAGAGUUAAUAGUAACAGUAAGUAGUCAUUGUGAUUAAAGUUAUUUAAUUUUAAGAUUUAUUACUACUAUUCCAUUUGGCAAUGGAAAUUUUAUAGCAGACCUUCACUUAGUGAUUAUUUUGUAUCGCUAUAAAAUGUCUAAUAUUUAAUGAAAACCUUGCUUUAUGAGGAAGAUUUGAUUUCUGUAGCCGAUUUUUUUUAGCCUUCAUGACCCUCUUGGCUAACAACAAAAAUUUUUUCAUUUUUUUUGGUGGCAGUUAAUUAUUUUCACUUUUUUUAUGCAUAAUCAGAUGUUCAAAUGUACAUAAUCAAACAAGGAACUUAUAUUCAACUGUUUUGUUUAUUAUAAACAAUUGUAUACAGUUAAAUUAAUUUGGGGAAAAAAUUAUUCUAGUAUGUGUAGUGUGCAAAACAAAAUCCAAAAUUUAAAUGGAAUCUGUCAAGUAGAUCUUGUUAUUAAUUGUAUGAUUGAUAAUUAAAUGCGAAAUUUAUAUUCAAUUAUAUUGUUUAUUGAAAAUAGGUGUAUGCAAAACAAAACCAAAAAUUUAAAUGGAAUCAGUCAAAUAGAUCUUGUUAUUAUUGAUAUGAUUGAUAAUUAAAUGAGAAAUUUAUAUUGUUUAUUGAAAAUAGGUGUAUACAGUUCAACUAAUUAGGUAAAGAAUUAGUUAGGUAUUUCUAGUAUACAUUGUGUACAGUGUGCAAGACAAAAUUUAAAAUUAAAACAGAAUCAGUCAAAUAGAUCUUGGGGAAUGCCAAUAUUUAGUCAAUUUUUCUCAAAUGUUUUAUUUAGUCAUUUUGCAUAACAUAUAUUAAAAUUUAGUAAAUGUUUGUGCAGCUUAAAAUUCAAAAAGUUUUUGACCAUUAUUAAAAUAAAUAAUGAAUAAAACUAAUUAAUCAUAAAAAUAUUUUUUAUGCAGAAUUAUCUUUUGAUGAACGAGUUUAUAAUUGUAUGCAAAAGUUUUCUAAUUUUCUUAAAUAGUUCUAGAGAUUUUGGUGAAAUAUGCAAAAAAGUGAAAUCCCUUCAGAGACUGCAACUAUCUGCUGCUCUCCUGCCUAAAUUGUAACCAUAUUUUUUAGAUUGUUGCUACCUUAAAGUAUCAUUUGCAUAAAUUUAUUGUCACAUUGAUAGUCAAAAACAUUUUAGUACAUGAGAAUUCAAAUAUUAAAUCAAAAGUUAUUAAGAAUUUUUUUAAUGUUCUACACAUUAUAUAUUUUACAUACUUAUUAUCAGUUUGGUGCUUCUUUAAACUCCACUUUUAUGGUUUCCCAAAGAUUUAAGUGGGAAGAAUACUCCCACCUCAUUCUUCCCAUUUAAGUGGCUGUCCAUAAUGCAUGACAUAAAGUAGUUUGAAUCAGAUCUUUUAAGCAUAAAAAUAACAUUUUAAAACCUUGGAAAUUAUAAGAUAACUAUAAUUAAUAAUUAUUUUAAUCAUCUGUUAAUUUUCUUUAUUAUCAUUUUGUCAUUUCUUAAUAAAUGUUGGUCGUUUUCUAUUUGUUAAUACUUUGAUAUCACAUAAUCCAUUGUUCUAUAGUUUUUAUUUAAUGUCAAAGAAAACCUUAUUUUUUCUAUGAUUUUUAUUUAUUAACUAUUUCGCCAAUCUUGUCGACGUUUAGAGUAUUUUAAUGGUAAUACUUAUUUUUAGUUUUUAGAUGGAGAUUACACUGUUAUGUUUUAACUGGAUUUUGUUGUUAUGUAGAUUUGUUUUAUUUAUCAUAUCCCUUGUUGCAAUGUUUGUUGAUAUAAAAUUUUAAUUCAUAAAAUUAUUUUUUAAAAAAUGAAAGCAAUGGCUAGGAUGAAAUGUAAUAGCUUUCGGAUGUAUAUUAUUUUAAGAAAUAAAGAUAUAAAAAUUUCACACCCUU